rnacentral:rRNA from 1 species
CAGCCGCCGCGGUAAUACGGAGGGUGCAAGCGUUAAUCGGAAUUACUGGGCGUAAAGCGUACGCAGGCGGUUUGUUAAGUCAGAUGUGAAAUCCCCGAGCUUAACUUGGGAACUGCAUUUGAAACUGGCAAGCUAGAGUCUUGUAGAGGGGGGUAGAAUUCCAGGUGUAGCGGUGAAAUGCGUAGAGAUCUGGAGGAAUACCGGUGGCGAAGGCGGCCCCCUGGACAAAGACUGACGCUCAGGUGCGAAAGCGUGGGGAGCAAACAGGAUUAGAUACCCCAGUAGUCCCUGUCUCUUAUAC